UACGUAGGGCGCAAGCGUUGUCCGGAAUUAUUGGGCGUAAAGAGCUCGUAGGCGGUCUGUCGCGUCGAUCGUGAAAACUUGGGGCUUAACCCUGAGCUUGCGGUCGAUACGGGCAUGACUGGAGUUCGGCAGGGGAGACUGGAAUUCCUGGUGUAGCGGUGAAAUGCGUAGAUAUCUGGAGGAAUACCGGUGGCGAAGGCGGCAGCCUGGACCGGCAUUGACGCUGAGGAGCGAAAGCCAGGGGAGCAAACGGG
rnacentral:rRNA from 1 species